GAUGGUAUAACUCAGUGGUAGAGUGUGUGCUUAGCAUGUAUGAGGUCUUGGGUUCAAUCCCCAGUACUUCCA
rnacentral:tRNA from 1 species